AUUGCAACAUCCACACUACUUCCGCACUCGGUGUUGACUUGUCUCCCUAUGGUAAUUCUCUCCGUUCCAAUUACAAAACCAUUCUACUAGAAGUCCUUAAAUCCGACUUAAUUGCUCUUAUCCUCAACCAGUUCUCAUACAACCAAAGCCCACUGGAGCUUCCAUUACUAUAUAAUGUGCGCUAUCGGCCUCCAACACAAACUCUUAU
rnacentral:lncRNA from 1 species